rnacentral:rRNA from 1 species
GCACAGUAAGAGCUUGCUCUUAUGGUNGGCGAGUGGCGGACGGGUGAGGAAUACAUCGGAAUCUACUCUGUCUUGGGGGAUAACGUAGGGAAACUUACGCUAAUACCGCAUACGACCUACGGGUGAAAGCAGGGGAUCUUCGGACCUUGCGCGAUUGAAUGAGCCGAUGUCGGAUUAGCUAGUUGCCGGGGUAAAGGCCCACCAAGGCGACGAUCCGUAGCUGGUCUGAGAGGAUGAUCAGCCACACUGGAACUGAGGCACGGUCCAGACUCCUACGGGAGGCAGCAGUGGGGAAUAUUGGACAAUGGGCGCAAGCCUGAUCCAGCCAUACCGCGUGGNUGAAGAAGGCCUUCGGGUUGUAAAGCCCUUUUGUUGGGAAAGAAAUCCAGCCGGCUAAUACCUGGUUGGGAUGACGGUACCCAAAGAAUAAGCACCGGCUAACUUCGUGCCAGCAGCCGCGGUAAUACGAAGGGUGCAAGCGUUACUCGGAAUUACUGGGCGUAAAGCGUGCGUAGGUGGUCGUUUAAG